AUUGAACGCUGGCGGAAUGCUUUACACAUGCAAGUCGAACGGCAGCACGGACUUCGGUCUGGUGGCGAGUGGCGAACGGGUGAGUAAUAUAUCGGAACGUAUCCAAUAAUGGGGAUAACUAAUCGAAAGGUUGGCUAAUACCGCAUACGCCUACGGGGAAAGCUAGGGACCUUCGGGCCUGGCGUUAAUGGAGCGGCUGAUAUCUGAUUAGCUAGUUGGUGAGGUAAAGGCUCACCAAGGCGACGAUCAGUAGCUGGUCUGAGAGGACGACCAGCCACACUGGAACUGAGACACGGUCCAGACUCCUACGGGAGGCAGCAGUGGGGAAUUUUGGACAAUGGGCGCAAGCCUGAUCCAGCCAUUCCGCGUGAGUGAAGAAGGCCUGGUGUAAGACUCUUUCGUCAAGGGAAGAAAAAUUAACGACUCUAACAUAGACGUGAUGAUGACGGUACCUUGAUAA
rnacentral:rRNA from 1 species